UACGGAGGGGGCGAGCGUUAUUCGGAAUUAUUGGGCGUAAAGGGCGCGUAGGCGGCUGCACAAGUCAAAGGUGAAAUCCCUCGGCUCAACUGAGGAACUGCCUUUGAAACUGUGCGGCUUGAGGCCGGGAGGGGGUAGCGGAAUUCCCAGUGUAGCGGUGAAAAUGCGUAGAUAUUGGGAGGAACACCAGUGGCGAAGGCGGCUACCUGGACCGGUUCUGACGCUGAGGCGCGAAAAGCGUGGGUAGCAAACAGG
rnacentral:rRNA from 1 species